rnacentral:tRNA from 1 species
GGAAGAAUGGUUUAGUGGUUAAGGCAUGGACAUGAGACUCUAGGUUCAAUUCCUACUUCUGCCA